GAUGAACGCUAGCUACAGGCUUAACACAUGCAAGUCGAGGGGAAACGAUAUUGGAAGCUUGCUUCCGAUAGGCGUCGACCGGCGCACGGGUGAGUAACGCGUAUCCAACCUGCCCAUCACUUGGGGAUAACCUUGCGAAAGUAAGACUAAUACCCAAUGACGUCUCUAGAAGACAUCUGAAAGAGAUUAAAGAUUUAUCGGUGAUGGAUGGGGAUGCGUCUGAUUAGCUUGUUGGCGGGGUAACGGCCCACCAAGGCGACGAUCAGUAGGGGUUCUGAGAGGAAGGUCCCCCACAUUGGAACUGAGACACGGUCCAAACUCCUACGGGAGGCAGCAGUGAGGAAUAUUGGUCAAUGGGCGAGAGCCUGAACCAGCCAAGUAGCGUGCAGGAUGACGGCCCUAUGGGUUGUAAACUGCUUUUAUAAGGGAAUAAAGUGAGCCACGUGUGGCUUUUUGCAUGUACCUUAUGAAUAAGGACCGGCUAAUUCCGUGCCAGCAGCCGCCGCCG
rnacentral:rRNA from 1 species